GGGGAUUAGUGGCGAACGGGUGAGUAACACGUGAGUAACCUGCCCUUGACUCUGGGAUAAGCCUGGGAAACUGGGUCUAAUACCGGAUAUGACUCCUCAUCGCAUGGUGGGGGGUGGAAAGCUUUUGUGGUUUUGGAUGGACUCGCGGCCUAUCAGCUUGUUGGUGGGGUAAUGGCCUACCAAGGCGACGACGGGUAGCCGGCCUGAGAGGGUGACCGGCCACACUGGGACUGAGACACGGCCCAGACUCCUACGGGAGGCAGCAGUGGGGAAUAUUGCACAAUGGGCGGAAGCCUGAUGCAGCGACGCCGCGUGAGGGAUGACGGCCUUCGGGUUGUAAACCUCUUUCAGUAGGGAAGAAGCCGCAAGGUGACGGUACCUGCAGAAGAAGCGCCGGCUAACUACGUGCCAGCAGCCGCGGUAAUACGUAGGGCGCAAGCGUUAUCCGGAAUUAUUGGGCGUAAAGAGCUCGUACGCGGUUUGUCGCGUCUGCUGUGAAAGACCGGGGCUCAACUCCGGUUCUGCAGUG
rnacentral:rRNA from 1 species